CCUACGGGAGGCAGCAGUGGGGAAUAUUGGACAAUGGGGGCAACCCUGAUCCAGCGACGCCGCGUGAGUGAAGAAGUAUCUCGGUACGUAAAGCUCUAUCAGCAGGGAAGAAAAAAGACGGUACCUGACUAAGAAGCCCCGGCUAACUACGUGCCAGCAGCCGCGGUAAUACGUAGGGGGCAAGCGUUAUCCGGAAUUACUGGGUGUAAAGGGAGCGUAGACGGCUAUGCAAGUCUGGAGUGAAAUGCCGGGGCUCAACCCCGGAGCUGCUCUGGAAACUGCGUGGCUUGAGUGUCGGAGGGGCAGGCGGAAUUCCCAGUGUAGCGGUGAAAUGCGUAGAUAUUGGGAGGAACACCGGCGGCGAAGGCGGCCUGCUGGACGACAACUGACGUUGAGGCUCGAAGGCGUGGGUAGCAAACAGGAUUAGAUACCCUAGUAGUC
rnacentral:rRNA from 1 species